GACGAACGCUGGCGGCGUGCCUAAUACAUGCAAGUAGAACGCUGAAGGAGGAGCUUGCUUCUCUGGAUGAGUUGCGAACGGGUGAGUAACGCGUAGGUAACCUGCCUGGUAGCGGGGGAUAACUAUUGGAAACGAUAGCUAAUACCGCAUAAGAGUAGAUGUCGCAUGACAUUUGCUUAAAAGGUGCAAUUGCAUCACUACCAGAUGGACCUGCGUUGUAUUAGCUAGUUGGUGAGGUAACGGCUCACCAAGGCAACGAUACAUAGCCGACCUGAGAGGGUGAGCGGCCACGCUGGGACUGAGACACGGCCCAGACUCCUACGGGAGGCAGCAGUAGGGAAUCUUCGGCAAUGGACGGAAGUCUGACCGAGCAACGCCGCGUGAGUGAAGAAGGUUUUCGGAUCGUAAAGCUCUGUUGUAAGAGAAGAACGAGUGUGAGAGUGGAAAGUUCACACUGUGACGGUAUCUUACCAGAAAGGGACGGCUAACUACGUG
rnacentral:rRNA from 1 species